rnacentral:rRNA from 1 species
UACGAAGGGGGCUAGCGUUGCUCGGAAUCACUGGGCGUAAAGCGCACGUAGGCGGAUUGUUAAGUCAGGGGUGAAAUCCUGGAGCUCAACUCCAGAACUGCCUUUGAUACUGGCGAUCUCGAGUCCGGGAGAGGUGAGUGGAACUGUGAGUGUAGAGGUGAAAUUCGUAGAUAUUCGCAAGAACACCAGUGGCGAAGGCGGCUCACUGGCCCGGUACUGACGCUGAGGCGCGAAAGCGUGGGGAGCAAACAGG